GUUGUGGUGCCUCAAAGGUGUAGAGGAUCUGAAUUACAGCUCAGAAGGUCAUGUGUUCAAAUCCCAGCACUACAACA